rnacentral:rRNA from 1 species
CGCGCAGGCGGCUUGGCAAGUCGGGUGUGAAAUCCCGGGGCUCAACCCCGGGACUGCAUUCGAUACUGUCAGGCUAGAGGUAGGUAGGGGAGAUCGGAAUUCCUGGUGUAGCGGUGAAAUGCGCAGAUAUCAGGAGGAACACCGGUGGCGAAGGCGGAUCUCUGGGCCUUACCUGACGCUCAGGCGCGAAAGCUAGGGGAGCGAACA